CGAUGUAGCAAUACAUUGGUGGCGACCGGCGCACGGGUGAGUAACGCGUAUGCAACCUACCUAUCAGAGGGGAAUAACCCGGCGAAAGUCGGACUAAUACCGCAUAAAACAGGGGUUCCACAUGGAAAUAUUUGUUAAAGAAUUAUCGCUGAUAGAUGGGCAUGCGUUCCAUUAGAUAGUUGGUGAGGUAACGGCUCACCAAGUCCACGAUGGAUAGGGGUUCUGAGAGGAAGGUCCCCCACACUGGUACUGAGACACGGACCAGACUCCUACGGGAGGCAGCAGUGAGGAAUAUUGGUCAAUGGGCGAGAGCCUGAACCAGCCAAGUCGCGUGAAGGAUGAAGGAUCUAUGGUUUGUAAACUUCUUUUAUAUGGGAAUAAAGUGAGGAACGUGUUCCUUUUUGUAUGUACCAUAUGAAUAAGCAUCGGCUAACUCCGUGCCAGCAGCCGCGGUAAUACGGAGGAUGCGAGCGUUAUCCGGAUUUAUUGGGUUUAAAGGGUGCGUAGGUGGUUAAUUAAGUCAGCGGUGAAAGUUUGUGGCUCAACCAUAAAAUUGCCGUUGAAACUGGUUGACUUGAGUAUAUUUGAGGUAGGCGGAAUGCGUGGUGUAGCGGUGAAAUGCAUAGAUAUCACGCAGAACUCCGAUUGCGAAGGCAGCUUACUAAACUAUAACUGACACUGAAGCACGAAAGCGUGGGGAUCAAACAGGAUUAGAUACCCUGGUAGUCCACGCAGUAAACGAUGAUUACUAGCUGUUUGCGAUACACAGUAAGCGGCACAGCGAAAGCGUUAAGUAAUCCACCUGGGGAGUACGCCGGCAACGGUGAAACUCAAAGGAAUUGACGGGGGCCCGCACAAGCGGAGGAACAUGUGGUUUAAU
rnacentral:rRNA from 1 species